AUGACCCACAUAUCAGAUAUUAAACUGAUAAGAACAGAUACUACACUUGAUCUUAGCCAAAAGGCCGAGAAAGGUAUGAGUUGCAGCGUUGCUCUGCCCCUCUAUUUGUAGCCUACUCGCCCUCCCGUCCCCUCUUCGCUAGGCGAGGUGGUACUAAACGAGUCGCCUCUCUCGCGCGGCUGCGGAGCGCGGACGCUGCGCUGCGUGCCCCCCGACCCCGAGCCAGCCUCUUUGUUGCAUGGGCCUCAAGCGAGACGGCCUUUCCGAUGA
rnacentral:rRNA from 1 species